GGCGCUGUGGGAUGAACCAAACGCAGAGUUAAGGCGCCUAAAUUGACGCUCAUGUGAAACCAUGAAAGGCGUUGGUUGCUUAAGACAGCAGGACGGUGGCCAUGGAAGUUGGAAUCCGCUAAGGAGUGUGUAACAACUCACCUGCCGAAGCAACUAGCCCUGAAAAUGGAUGGCGCUGUAGCGUCGUGCCUAUACUCUGCCGUCAAUGACAAAGAUGAUUAAUAAGCUGUGUGUUAAUUAAUGUUGUAGUCUUGACUGCAGUAUUGUUAAUUACAAAGUUUAUUACUAUAUCAUCAUUAUGUCUUGAUGAGUAAGAGGGCCGCGGCGAUGAGCGCAGAAGGGUCUGGGCGAGAGCCCGCCUGGAGCCGUCGCUGGUGCAGAUCUUGGUGGUAGUAGCAAAUACUCCAGCGAGGCCCUGGAGGACUGAUGUGGAGAAGGGUUUCUUGUGAACAGCUGUUGCACAAGAGUCAGUCGAUCCUAAGCCCUAGGAGAAAUCCGAAGCGAUAUGCGCCCGUUAAAUAAUUUUUUUUUAUUAAAUGUUUGGCGCUAUCUGGGCGAAAGGGAAUCCGGUUCCUAUUCCGGAACCCGGCAGCGGAACCGUUCCAAAUCGGGCUCUCAUUUGAGAACUCGUCGGGGUAACCCGACAAGACCCGGAGACGCCGUACGGAAAUUCGGAGAGAGUUGUCUCUUCUCUAUAAGCGUUCGAGUUCCCUGGAAACCUCUAGCAGGGAGAUAGGGUUUGGAACGCGAAGAGCACCGCAGUUACGGCGGUGUCCGGAUCUUCCCUACGGACCUUGAAAAUCCGGGAGAGGGCCACGAGGAACCCCGCGCCGGCUCGUACCCAUAUCCGCAGCAGGUCUCCAAGGUCAAUAGCCUCUAGUCGAUAGAAUAAUGUAGGUAAGGGAAGUCGGCAAAUCCGAUCCGUAACUUCGGGAUAAGGAUUGGCUCUGAGGACUGAGUCGUGCCGGGCUUGGUCGGGAAGUGGAGCGGUGUCAACGUGCCGGGCCUGGGCGAGGAGAAAAUUGCGUUUCUGCGCUUUUGGAUCCGAGCUCGGUCCCGUGCCUUGGCCACCCACGGAUCUUCCUUGCUGCGAGUCGUUAGCCGUGUGGUUACCGCUGGCUUUUGCUAGCUGGUCGACCUGGCUUACGAUCUCUUCGGCCGACAUUCAACAGUCAACUCAGAACUGGCACGGACAAGGGGAAUCCGACUGUCUAAUUAAAACAAAGCAUUGCGAUGGCCCCAACGGGUGUUGACGCAAUGUGAUUUCUGCCCAGUGCUCUGAAUGUCAAAGUGAAGAAAUUCAAGCAAGCGCGGGUAAACGGCGGGAGUAACUAUGACUCUCUUAAGGUAGCCAAAUGCCUCGUCAUCUAAUUAGUGACGCGCAUGAAUGGAUUAACGAGAUUCCCUCUGUCCCUUAUCUACUAUCUAGCGAAACCACGGCCAA
rnacentral:ncRNA from 1 species